GACUUUGCUCUUAACAUGCAGAGGAGCCAGAGGCGGGAGCUGGGAGAAGAGAGACUGUUAGGAGGCUGCUGAAAUAGUCCAGGCGAGAGAUCUUGAAGCCCUGAACGUCAAUAUGUGCGGCACGAAGAGGAAGAAUCGAAUCUGAGCCAUUUGGUAUUUGCAAUGGAAAGGACCUCCUAACAGGAGGGGUGAGAUGUGGGAGGAGGAUUUCCAGGCUUUUCAGUUGGCUUGUGACACUACCCAAGACAGGAAGAGAGAGUGAAGUGUCGUUUUGGGCAUGUUGUUUUGGUAAGGACGUGCCUGUGGGUCAUCUAACUGGAGAUGUCCAACAGGCAGGCAGAAAUGUGGGCGUGGAAUCUGGGAGAGAAAACUCUAAUGGAAUAUUUUUCUUAUGACACAUUCCCGUUAAGCCUUCAUUCCUCGGGUUUGGCUAAGGCCACCGUGGACAGAUUGGUGGGGGAAGUGCUGUUCUGAGAUCCUGGGUGUAGUCUUACAGUCCUAACAGCAAGGCAGCUUUCUUUCCCUGUCUCUGCGUGGGGAACAGAAUUUGUGCAGGCUCAAGUGUGCCUGGCAAGAAGGCCAAACUGAAAACACCUUCCACAGCUCUGGGGCCUAACGUUGAAUUUCCAUCUUCAGCCGCACGUUUUCCAGGUGAGCUUCUCAAGCAGGAUAAAUUCCUGCAGAAGCACAGAAAUCUCAGGAGUCCCAAGGUUCCUAGCAAAUUAGAAUCUUGAGGUAGGAGAGGAGCCAGGCCCCACCCCAGAAGCCCAGUAGGAACUGGCACCAAGAGAAAAUCGACAAUAAAAGCAAUUGGUGAUUUGUGCCAUCAGAAGAUAGGCUGGCCAGGACAGGUCAAGGAGAAUGAGACAAGUUACAGCAAAUUUUAAUACAAUUGCUCUGAUUCUAGGUAAUUUCAGGAUAGCAUAAUAGAAUUAUUUUACACUUGAAGAUACUUUGGGAUGCAUGAACAUAAAGCCUCUGCCAUUUGCACUGUUUCAUUUACUGAACACCAAUCCUAUUAGUUUGCUCUAUAUUACAGUUAUUAUCCCCAUUUUAUGGAUGCAGAAAGUGGAGGGCAGACAGGUUAAAUGAUCUCCCUCAAAUCGCCUACCGGGUAAGUGGCAUAUCUGGGAUUUGGAAGCAGCCUGUCUGACUCCAGAGGCUGCCCUCUUAGCCACAGGCUCCACCAGCACGUGUAUGUGACUGACACAUGUGGAUGGCACUUUGUACCGCCAAAAGUACUCUCUUAUAUUUAUGUCCUCCAAAUAGACAGAAACAGGGCCAAGAUGAAACCUUUAGCCCGAGAUGGCUUUUUACAGUGUCCUCUGGGGCUGGAAGGUAGACCCAGUAUCCGGUAUCCUGCAGUACCUUCCAGGCAUGAGCCUAAGAAACAACAUCAGAGUGAAGCACACUGGCUUCUGCUUCACACAGGACAUGCUUCAUAAAGCCUGCGCUUCCUAUAAGAUCACACCUUCCACCUCAGCCCCUAGUCCUGGGACCAGAGCCACCAAGAGGACCUAAAUCAAGGUGAAUGAGGGAAGGUUGGUGGCCAGUUACAUUUUGCACUAUAAAACCCCAAACUUCCCUCUAGCAAAUCCCUGUGUUGGUUUUGUAUUUGCUUUCUUUUUGGCUUCUAAACUCCUUACAAUAGACUCAAUGUUCUAUUAUCAUCAUUAAGAUAAAACAGCAGGUCUCAGUAUGUACUGAAUACUUUUUUAAAACAUAACAUCGGACCUACAAAAAAGUUGCUAAAACAGUGAAGAAUUCCUGGACAAUCUUUACCCAGAUACCCCAAAAGUUAGCAUUUUACUACAUUUGCCUUAUCUAUCAUCUAUCUCCCUUUAAAUUUUUUCUUUUACCAUUUAAGAGUGAAUUGGAGACCUGAUGCCCUAUUCCCUUAAAUAGUUAUGUACAUUUCCUAAAAGCCUGCCUAAAAAUUCUGCCUCUCAAAACCACAGUACAAUUAUCUAAAUCACAAUGUUAACAUUGAUGGAACACAAUUAUCUAGUCUAUAAUCCUUCCUCAGAUUUUGCCAAUUGUUCCUAUAAUGUCCUUUCUAGCCAAAGAAAACCCAGUUACGUGUUGCAUUUGCUUGUCAUGUCCACGGACAUCUAGAAUAGUUCCUGAAUCUUUUUAUUUCAUGGCGUUGACAUAUUUGAAGUGAACAGCCCAGUUAUCUUGUAGAAUGCCCCUCAAUUGGGUCUAUCUUUCUUAUGGUGAGAUUCAGGUUAUAUGGGGUUUUUUUUUUUCCAGGAUUUUUUCAGUUCUUCUCAAUGCCUCAUAGGAGGGACAUGCUGUCAGUUAGACCCAUUUAAAGUUGGUGUCUGUUAGGUUUCUCUACCGUACAGCUACUGUUUUAUCCCUUGUGAUUAAUAAGUCUCUUGUGAGGAGAUACUUUGAAACUGUGUAAAUAUCCUAUGUGAAUCAUUCAUUGAUAAUUCUUGAUGACUCAUAUACUUAUUAUUAUGGUUGCCAAAUGGUGAUAUUCUAAUUCUGUCAUUCCUUCUACAGUUAUUAAUUGGCUUUCAACCAUAAGGAAGAACUUUCUUGUAUGCCUUACUUAUUUAUAUCAGCAUGGACUCAUGAAUUCUUAUUCAGAAAACCUCAAUACUUAAUAAAAAAAGAUAUGUGUCAUUAAAGCAUCACUCAUGUCUGUUGGAAUUCUUUAAUGUAUGUAUUUUGAUACUCAAUUGUCCCAAAUGUUUGCCAGACACAAUUAUUUCAUUUAAUUCAUUAGCGAUCAAAUUUAAAUCAUUCAAUUCUCAAAACAACUCUAUGAGGUGGGGAUCCCUCUUGAUGUUUCUGCCACACAGGAAUUAUCUCCUCUCCCCUGCC
rnacentral:lncRNA from 10 species